rnacentral:rRNA from 1 species
UACGAAGGGGGCUAGCGUUGCUCGGAAUCACUGGGCGUAAAGGGCGCGUAGGCGGCGUUUUUAAGUCGGGGGUGAAAGCCUGUGGCUCAACCACAGAAUGGCCUUCGAUACUGGGACGCUUGAGUAUGGUAGAGGUUGGUGGAACUGCGAGUGUAGAGGUGAAAUUCGUAGAUAUUCGCAAGAACACCAGUGGCGAAGGCGGCUUACUGGACCGGUUCUGACGCUGAGGCGCGAAAGCGUGGGGAGCAAACAGG